UACGUAGGGUGCGAGCGUUGUCCGGAAUUACUGGGCGUAAAGAGCUCGUAGGUGGUUUGUCACGUCGUCUGUGAAAUUCCGGGGCUUAACCUCGGGCGUGCAGGCGAUACGGGCAAUACUUGAGUGCUGUAGGGGAGACUGGAAUUCCUGGUGUAUCGGUGAAAUGCGCAGAUAUCAGGAGGAACACCAAUGGCGAAGGCAGGUCUCUGGGCAGUUACUGACGCUGAGGAGCGAAAGCAUGGGUAGCGAACAGGAUUAGA
rnacentral:rRNA from 1 species